GAUGAACGCUAGCUACAGGCUUAACACAUGCAAGUCGAGGGGAAACGACAUCGAAAGCUUGCUUUUGGUGGGCGUCGACCGGCGCACGGGUGAGUAACGCGUAUCCAACCUGCCCACCACUUGGGGAUAACCUUGCGAAAGUAAGACUAAUACCCAAUGAUAUCCCACGAAGGCAUCCGAAUGGGAUUAAAGAUUUAUCGGUGAUGGAUGGGGAUGCGUCUGAUUAGCUUGUUGGCGGGGUAACGGCCCACCAAGGCUACGAUCAGUAGGGGUUCUGAGAGGAAGGUCCCCCACAUUGGAACUGAGACACGGUCCAAACUCCUACGGGAGGCAGCAGUGAGGAAUAUUGGUCAAUGGGCGAGAGCCUGAACCAGCCAAGUAGCGUGCAGGAUGACGGCCCUAUGGGUUGUAAACUGCUUUAUAAGGGAAUAAAGUGAGUCUCGUGAGACUUUUUGCAUGUACCUUAUGAAUAAGGACCGGCUAAUUCCGUG
rnacentral:rRNA from 1 species